rnacentral:tRNA from 1 species
UUAAAUUUAGUUUAUUUAAAACAAAUUAUUUACAUUAAUUAGAUAUUUUAAAAAUUAAUUUAAA